rnacentral:tRNA from 1 species
ACUAUUUUGGCAGAUUAGUGCAAUAAAUUUAGAAUUUAUUUAUAUAAUUUUUAAUUAUAAGUAGUA